CGGGAAAUGAGAGCUUCUUCGUAUUUUCUGGGAUUGUGCACAAAUGCUGAUUGUCAAAUCCCCACCUAGACACACAUGACAUGGUUCAGUAUAUCUGUCCUUAUGUUGAAGUCCUUGAACCAGAAAAGCCAUAGGAGCCAUGAUGAUCAACAAGGGAGGAAGAGGAAAAGGAAAAAGUGUGAGGUAUGACGGCUAAAGAAACCGCCUUUUAUGUCAGGCAUCCAUCUUGGGGUCAUGAGCUCCAUACAUUUGGAUGUCCCAGUGUGAUCCAUGGGAGAGUCUAGACUCAGGGUCAAGGGUCUGUGGUAGGCCCCAGAGGAGCAAGUCCAAGGUGGACUUGACAGGCCCACAGGAUCCCAAACUUCAGUCUUCAGGAAGACUUGCAGGCCAGUGUGCUUCUGAAGUGCUGACUGAUCGGUGAGUUACUCUGUUCUGUUUUAGAAUCUGUACCUUUGGAGAGACAAAAGCAAGACCGGGCAUGAUUGUAGACCCAUUCUUUGGG